rnacentral:rRNA from 1 species
CCUUCGGGAGCGAGUAAAGUGGCGAACGGGUGCGUAACGCGUGACCAACCUGCCCUUGAGAGGAGAAUAACUACGGGAAACUGUAGCUAAUACUCCAUAAUAUCUGGACCUCCCCUGAGGACCAGAUCAAAGCCUUGUGCACUCAAGGAUGGGGUCGCGUCGGAUUAGCUCGUUGGUGAGGUAACGGCUCACCAAGGCAACAAUCCGUAGCUGGUCUGAGAGGAUGAUCAGCCACACUGGCACUGAGACACGGCCCAGACUCCUACGGGAGGCAGCAGUGGGGAAUCUUGGACAAUGGGCGAAAGCCUGAUCCAGCCAUGCCGCGUGAGUGAAGAAGGCCUUAGGGUUGUAAAGCUCUUUCAGCGGGGAAGAUAAUGACGGUACCCGCAGAAGAAGCCCCGGCUAACUUCGUGCCAGCAGCCGCGGUAAUACGAAGGGGGCUAGCGUUGUUCGGAAUUACUGGGCGUAAAGCGCGCGUAGGCGGACUGGUCAGUCAGGGGUGAAAGCCCGGGGCUUAACCUCGGAACUGCCUUUGAUACUACCAGUCUAGAGUCCGGCAGAGGUGAGUGGAAUUCCUAGUGUAGAGGUGAAAUUCGUAGAUAUUAGGAAGAACACCAGUGGCGAAGGCGGCUCACUGGGCCGAGACUGACGCUGAGGCGCGAAAGCGUGGGGAGCAAACAGGAUUAGAUACCCUGGUAGUCCACGCCGUAAACGAUGGAUGCUAGCCGUUGGAC